CGGGGUUUAGCGCAGUUUGGUAGCGCGUUUGGUUUGGGACCAAAAAGUCGGGGGUUCAAAUCCCUCAACCCCGACCA
rnacentral:tRNA from 1 species